rfam:Allomyces macrogynus ATCC 38327 genomic scaffold supercont3.10, whole genome shotgun sequence.
GACUACGUGGCCGAGUGGUUAAGGCGUUGGACUUGAAAUCCAAUAGGAUUCUCCUGCACAGGUUCGAACCCUGUCGUAGUCG